rnacentral:rRNA from 1 species
CGCGUAGGCGGCUUGGAAAGUCGGAUGUGAAAGGCCCGGGCUUAACCUGGGGCGUGCAUUCGAAACUGACAGGCUUGAGUGCAGGAGAGGAAAGCGGAAUUCCCAGUGUAGCGGUGAAAUGCGUAGAUAUUGGGAGGAACACCAGUGGCGAAGGCGGCUUUCUGGACUGUAACUGACGCUGAGGCGCGAAAGCGUGGGGAGCAAACAGGAUUAGAUACCCUGGUAGUCCACGCUGUAAACGAUGGAUACUAGGUGUAGGGGGUAUCGAUCCCCCCUGUGCCGCAGCAAACGCAAUAAGUAUCCCGCCUGGGGAGUACGGCCGCAAGGUUGAA